rnacentral:lncRNA from 1 species
GAACAAAUGGAAUCAAAAUCCAGCGUCACAGAUACAGUUCAGCUGGACAAUGCAUUAACAUAUCCGAAAUCAUUUUAAAUAUUAUAGAGCAGAUACAUCUGCCACUGGCACCUAUUUACCGAUAAACACUGGUUCAGAGACUGAUUUCACUUUGGUUGCAGGUUCUGCUGAGAUCUGUCACAUUUCAGGUUGUCAGCGUUUAUCAGCCUUGCGGAUCUAUGGAACAACAACCAAGAAAAAGAGGUCGGCCAAGGCUCCUUGUCACCGCUGAUGUGGUGGAGCGGCGAAAGAAUUCCAAGCGGUUGCAAAAUGCCAAGCGUGCUUACAAGCGGGGUAUGUACACUGCUAAGCUGUUGUUUUGGGCUAGGAUCAACUACUCCCCCUUCCCUGUUCAGAGAGCCAGUCCCCAAGCCUUUAAAACCGUGAGGCACCCGUUUACGUGGACUUUUAAUUUUUGUGGUUGCUGGAGAGUGUUUGGUAUUCUUACGAAUUGCUUUCCGAGCCUCUGCAGUUGUGUGUGCCCGAGUCCAGGGAGCGUGCGUGCGGAAAUCUGGUUUAAGAUCUGUGUGCGUGUUUUUACCUCGGCUGUUCCACUAACUAGCUUUACUCUUAUCUUCCUGUUUAGGAGAGGAGCUAUCGGAAGGGGGAUGUUCCGCCCACUCUCCAAACAUCGCUGGAUCUCCUACUGGUGGCCAAUCCAGUUCAGAUGCCUGUCCAGCGUUAGAUGAUGCUCGUCCGGCGGGC